AUUGAAUAAUAGGAUUGUACAUUAGAUUAAACUUCUAUGAUUGCCCGUAUCGAGGUAAUCAUUGAUAGGGACAGUUGGGGCCCUCCAUAUUCAGCUGUAAGAGGUAAAAUUCUUGGAUUUCUUGCAGACGAACUACUGUGAAACUAGGCGGCAACGUUGUUUUCAUAAUAUCGAACACGCAAGUUCGGGAAUUGAACACGCUCCGAUACCGUCGUAGUCUUACGCACACAGUAUCGAGUCUAGGGAUCGGGCCAUGUUGGUUUUUCAACUAGCUGAGCUCUUUAGGUUAACACGCACUUUUUCGGUUUUGGGGGGCAUGUCGGUAAAUGUCCGAAAGUUUAAGGUUUGCGCGGAAAGGGGGCCAGUAUGAGGGGUAAAGGCUGACGCUUAAUUCGAAUCUUCCUGGGCACGUAUUCCAACUCGACGCUGGGGCGGGAUUACAAGAUUGCUGUCAUUUGCACGUGGUGAUAGUUGACGGUGGCUGGCCGUGUAUGAGAAGGUCCCGCUGAUUUGGGAGGUUAAGUGCGAUAAUAAACGCAAGCGAUAUCUGCUUAAUUGGCGGCAGGGGUCUGCGCUGGUCGCACGCUUGUUACAAAGGCACUGCAUACAAAUGCUCCGGCUUCUUGACCCAAAACCUUAUCAGAGCUGGCAUCCCCUAUGCCGGACCCCAGAAUGGCUUGAUUACGUCCUUUGCCUUUGUAACACACCGCCCGCGCACAUU
rnacentral:rRNA from 1 species